rnacentral:tRNA from 1 species
GGCGGCGUAGCUCAGCCUGAUAGAGCACUCGGCUCAUACCCGAUCGGCCACUGGUUUAAAUCCAGUCGCCGCCACCA